rnacentral:piRNA from 1 species
CCUGGGUCCCAGGCUGGGAUGUGUCUGC